UGAGAAGCAACUGCUGAGCUGACAUGCCACACCUACUGAAGCCUGAGUGCCCGAGAACCUGUACUCUGCAACAAGAGAAGCCACCAAAACGAGAAGCUCGUGUACUAAUUGUCUGUUGAUAUCCCUCGUUCAUUUUUUUCUAUUGAGGACUGAGCCCAUCCUGCUGCAGAUAAAACACCUCUUCUCAAGGCUUGAGGAUCUAAGAUAAGAAGAAAAGGGGGACUUCCCUGGCAGUCCAGAGGUGAAGACUUCAUCUCCAAUGCAACGUGUGCAGCUUCAGUCCCUGGUCAGAGAGCUAAGAUCCCACACGCCUCAUGCCCAAAAAAUCAAAAUGUAAAACAGACGGGAUAUUGUAACAGAUUCAAUAAAGACUUCAAAAAUG
ensembl:lncRNA